rfam:Methanopyrus kandleri AV19, complete genome.
ACUCCGGUUGAUCCUGCCGGAGGCCACCGCUAUCGGGGUCCGACUAAGCCAUGCAAGUCGAGGGCCGCCCGGCAAUGGGGGCGGCCCGGCGGACGGCUCAGUAACACGUGGGUAACCUACCCUCGGGACGGGGAUAACCCCGGCGAAAGUGGGGCUAAUCCCCGAUAGGCGGGGCGGCCUGGAACGGUCCUCCGCCGAAAGGGCCCGGGCCCAUGCCGCCCGGGUCCGCCCGAGGAUGGGCCUGCGGCCGAUUAGGUAGUUGGCGGGGUAACGGCCCGCCAAGCCGAUAAUCGGUACGGGCGGUGAGAGCCGGAGCCCGGAGACGGGGACUGAGACAAGGCCCCGGGCCCUACGGGGCGCAGCAGGCGCGAAACCUCCGCAAUGCGGGCAACCGCGACGGGGGGACCCCGAGUGCCGUCGGGGCAAAGCCCCGGCGGCUGUACCGGGGUGUAAAAAGCCCCGGGUAGAAAGCGGCGGGCAAGACCGCUGCCAGCCGCCGCGGUAAUAGCGGCGCCGCAAGUGGUGGCCGCUUUUAUUGGGCCUAAAGGGGCCGUAGCCGGUCCCGUGGGUCCCCGCCGAAAGCCCGCGGCUUAACCGCGGGAGUCGGCGGGGAAACUGCGGGACUUGGGACCGGGAGAGGCCGGAGGUACCCCCGGGGUAGGGGUGAAAUCCUGUCAUCCCGGGGGGACCGCCAGUGGCGAAGGCGUCCGGCUGGAACGGGUCCGACGGUGAGGGCCGAAAGCCGGGGGAGCAAACCGGAUUAGAUACCCGGGUAGUCCCGGCUGUAAACGAUGCGGACUAGGUGUUGGGGCGGCCACGAGCCGCCCCAGUGCCGUAGGGAAGCCGUUAAGUCCGCCGCCUGGGGAGUACGGCCGCAAGGCUGAAACUUAAAGGAAUUGGCGGGGGAGCACCACAACCGGUGGAGCCUGCGGUUUAAUUGGAUUCAACGCCGGAAACCUUACCGGGGGCGACAGCAGGAUGAAGGCCAGGUUGACGACCUUGCCGGACGAGCUGAGAGGAGGUGCAUGGCCGCCGUCAGCUCGUGCCGUGAGGUGUCCUGUUAAGUCAGGUAACGAGCGAGACCCCCGCCCGCAGUUGCCAGCGGGCCCCGUAAGGGGCGCCGGGCACUCUGCGGGGAUCGCCGCCGUUAAGGCGGAUGAAAGUGGGGGCGACGGCAGGUCCGUAUGCCCCGAAACCCCCGGGCUACACGCGGGCUACAAUGGCGGGGACAAUGGGAUCCGACCCCGAAAGGGGGAGGAAAUCCCCUAAACCCCGUCGUAGUUCGGAUUGCGGGCUGCAACUCGCCCGCAUGAAGGUGGAAUCGGUAGUAACCGUGCCUCAGAAUGGCACGGUGAAUACGUCCCUGCUCCUUGCACACACCGCCCGUCACGCCACCCGAGCCCCCCGGGGGCAAGCCCCCGGUCCGCAAGGGCUGGGGGCGAGCCCCCGGGGGGUGAGGGGGGCGAAGUCGUAACAAGGUAGCCGUAGGGGAACCUGCGGCUGGAUCACCUCCA